rnacentral:ribozyme from 1 species
CACCUUGUUUCGCUUGACAAAACGUUGAAUCAUUUUGUAUUCUCAACGUCUUCUUGGGCUCAAUUCCUUGUUCAUAAAAGCAAGGCAUUAACUUGA